rnacentral:rRNA from 1 species
AUACGUAGGUGGCAAGCGUUGUCCGGAUUUAUUGGGCGUAAAGCGAGCGCAGGCGGUUUCUUAAGUCUGAUGUGAAAGCCCCCGGCUCAACCGGGGAGGGUCAUUGGAAACUGGGAGACUUGAGUGCAGAAGAGGAGAGUGGAAUUCCAUGUGUAGCGGUGAAAUGCGUAGAUAUAUGGAGGAACACCAGUGGCGAAGGCGACUCUCUGGUCGGUAACUGACGCUGAGGGUCGAAAGCGUGGGGAGCAAACAGGAUUAGAUACCCUGGUAGUCCACGCCGUAAACGAUGAGUGCUAAGUGUUGGAGGGUUUCCGCCCUUCAGUGCUGCAGCUAACGCAUUAAGCACUCCGCCUGGGGAGUACGACCGCAAGGUUGAAGCUCAAAUGAAUUGGCGGGG